CUCCCUGAGAAGGGGGGAAGCACAGAAAGAGGUGCAAGUCCCUGCAUGCAACAGCUGGGAACACAGACACGUGCAUGAAACACAACAGGACUUAAAGUGACUUCUCCCAAGACAAGGCAUUCCACGACGGCGUGCAGGCUUCAGGCAAGGGGGGUCUGCAGAGCCCGUGCCCUCUUGGAAAGGGGAGAUCGAUUUACACUUCCUCACUGCUUCCAGGCCCAUCUAGCUGCAUCCCAGUAGAGUUAAAGCCAGUGCAACUUGUGUGUGCAGGCAAAUGUAAAUCCAGAGCAGACAAAGGCGUCCCCUCCUUCCACAGGCUGAGGGUAGCAAGGAGUCCAGCUGCUGCCUGCCCUCUCCUAGGCCCCAGGAGGGGAGGGGGGGAAGAAAACCCUAAAAUGGAGACCAAGAUUCAUCACUAUCCCUAGCAAAAGCAAACCAGCCAUUUCAGAAACACCCAGUCCCCAGGAACUGGCUGAGCCAGGACAAAACCAGAGCACCAAGAGGAGCCUGGAGCCAGCAGAUUCCAGCAGUCCAGGGCAGGGGAGCUGGGAGGCAGCUCACCCCCAUCAACAGGGCUCAGGUGAAAAUCCACGUGCUUUGGAGGGAGAGGUUAACCCCUGUGGGAGCUGUGGGGAGGAGGAACUCACAGGGCUCGAUGCAAAAUGCCAGCCAUGAUUUUUAGCUUCUUCAAAUCACAACUGUGCUUCGAUGACACCUAAAAAUAUAAUCCCCAGCCCAGUCUGCCAUCCUCUGCCGAGCCUUCCUCUGUGAGAGAAGGGGCUCGAAAUAUGGCACACAGGAAAACGAGGAGAGGAGGAGGGGAAAUGUUCUUCAUUUAACACCAAGAACUCCAUGAAAAGCCUUGCAAGGUUGCUCAGAGCCCCGCUCUGUUCCAGCCUUCUCCCUGUCUGCGCUGAUCAUACUUCACAGGUGAAAGCAGCUCUGACUUAUGACAGAGAGAAAAUGCCAGAAGAGCUGGAGGUUUCCUCAUCCUUGGAACAAGGACAAGUUGUGAAAAACUUCCUUUGCAAGAGCCACUGUGCUGCUCAGGCACAGCAUGGCAGUGUUGCAGGGAGGACACUUGCACGUCAGACCUUGUCAGACCUUCUUAACCCCCACUGCCUCAACCCUUCUCCACGUCCUUCCCCCUCCUGAUGGGGACUGAAGGAAAAACACAAAUAAAUGACCUGGUUUGGAGGAUGCAAGUUGUUGUGUUGGAGUCCAGAAUAUUUUUUAAAAGCUUGCUCAACAUUUUUUCCCCUUCUAUAUUUUCCUUUUCUUUUUUCUAAUGAGGAGCUUGUACAGUUUGAGAGCUUCACUCCUGCUGCUUUCCUGACUACUGUAAAUCCUGGCAGGCUGCCCUCCUCCUCUGCCCCCCUCCAGGACUAACACCACCCUACAGCAAAGCCAGACACGCAUCCUCCACCCAAGAGACCAAGGAGCUCACAGAGGCACAAGAGGGACAAAUCCCACUGGAAACACGAGAGGCCAUAAGGGUCUGCAAAGAGGGGUUGGUGUCAAAACUCUGAAUUCAGAGGAGUCAGAAAAAAUAACUGGCUGAAAAUGGGAGUUGAGGAUUAUGAACUCAGGGAUUUGUUUCCAAAUCACUGACAUUCCAUGUCACUGCAGGAACAUAUGGUCCUCCAAGGCUUGCAAGCAGGGAGCACACGCCGUCAGUGCCCCGAGCCUUUGGGCUGACCCCAACACACGGUCACUCUCCCGCUGCGGCCAUUCCUCGACCACUCUCAGCCCCAGGAGCAGGAAGGCAAGAAGGAAAAACUUCAGGGAAAAGCAGCAAAAGGAAAACAAAGAGGAGCAGCAGGAACCAAGCCAGCCCUCCCCCAAACCAGC